CGUAUCACUUAAAACGAUUCAGAAGCUUACGAUUGACGGAGCGAAGCGACGUCAAAGCGUAUACAAAGUCGAGUCGGUUUAAGGAUACGUUCGUUGGGUAGGGGAGCGUUCUGUAAGCCUGCGAAGGUGGCCUGUGAGGGUUGCUGGAGGUAUCAGAAGUGCGAAUGCUGACAUAAGUAACGAUAAAGCGGGUGAAAAGCCCGCUCGCCGGAAGACCAAGGGUUCCUGUCCAACGUUAAUCGGGGCAGGGUGAGUCGACCCCUAAGGCGAGGCCGAAAGGCGUAGUCGAUGGGAAACGGGUUAAUAUUCCCGUACUUGGUGUUACUGCGAAGGGGGGACGGAGAAGGCUAUGUUGGCCGGGCGACGGUUGUCCCGGUUUAAGCGUGUAGGCUGACUUUCCAGGCAAAUCCGGAGAGUCAAGGCUGAGGCGUGACGACGAGGCACCACGGUGCUGAAGCAACAAAUGCCCUGCUUCCAGGAAAAGCCUCUAAGCAUCAGGUAACAUCAAAUCGUACCCCAAACCGACACAGGUGGUCAGGUAGAGAAUACCAAGGCGCUUGAGAGAACUCGGGUGAAGGAACUAGGCAAAAUGGUGCCGUAACUUCGGGAGAAGGCACGCUGACACGUAGGUGAAGUGGUUUACCCAUGGAGCUGAAGUCAGUCGAAGAUACCAGCUGGCUGCAACUGUUUAUUAAAAACACAGCACUGUGCAAACACGAAAGUGGACGUAUACGGUGUGACGCCUGCCCGGUGCCGGAAGGUUAAUUGAUGGGGUCAGCGCAAGCGAAGCUCCUGAUCGAAGCCCCGGUAAACGGCGGCCGUAACUAUAACGGUCCUAAGGUAGCGAAAUUCCUUGUCGGGUAAGUUCCGACCUGCACGAAUGGCGUAAUGAUGGCCAGGCUGUCUCCACCCGAGACUCAGUGAAAUUGAACUCGCUGUGAAGAUGCAGUGUACCCGCGGCAAGACGGAAAGACCCCGUGAACCUUUACUAUAGCUUGACACUGAACAUUGAGCCUUGAUGUGUAGGAUAGGUGGGAGGCUUUGAAGCGUGGACGCCAGUCUGCGUGGAGCCAACCUUGAAAUACCACCCUUUAAUGUUUGAUGUUCUAACGUGGACCCGUAAUCCGGGUUGCGGACAGUGUCUGGUGGGUAGUUUGACUGGGGCGGUCUCCUCCUAAAGAGUAACGGAGGAGCACGAAGGUUGGCUAAUCCUGGUCGGACAUCAGGAGGUUAGUGCAAUGGCAUAAGCCAGCUUGACUGCGAGCGUGACGGCGCGAGCAGGUGCGAAAGCAGGUCAUAGUGAUCCGGUGGUUCUGAAUGGAAGGGCCAUCGCUCAACGGAUAAAAGGUACUCCGGGGAUAACAGGCUGAUACCGCCCAAGAGUUCAUAUCGACGGCGGUGUUUGGCACCUCGAUGUCGGCUCAUCACAUCCUGGGGCUGAAGUAGGUCCCAAGGGUAUGGCUGUUCGCCAUUUAAAGUGGUACGCGAGCUGGGUUUAGAACGUCGUGAGACAGUUCGGUCCCUAUCUGCCGUGGGCGCUGGAGAACUGAGGGGGGCUGCUCCUAGUACGAGAGGACCGGAGUGGACGCAUCACUGGUGUUCGGGUUGUCAUGCCAAUGGCACUGCCCGGUAGCUAAAUGCGGAAGAGAUAAGUGCUGAAAGCAUCUAAGCACGAAACUUGCCCCG
rnacentral:rRNA from 1 species